UACGUAGGGGGCAAGCGUUGUCCGGAAUCAUUGGGCGUAAAGAGCGUGUAGGCGGCUCGGUAAGUCCGCUGUGAAAGUCCAGGGCUCAACCCUGGAAUGCCGGUGGAAACUGUCGAGCUAGAGUCCGGAAGAGGCGAGUGGAAUUCCUGGUGUAGCGGUGAAAUGCGCAGAUAUCAGGAGGAACACCGAUGGCGAAGGCAGCUCGCUGGGACGGUACUGACGCUGAUGCACGAAAGCGUGGGGAGCAAACAGG
rnacentral:rRNA from 1 species